rnacentral:rRNA from 1 species
UCGGCAAUGGGCGAAAGCCUGACCGAGCGACGCCGCGUGUGGGAUGAAGGCCUUCGGGUUGUAAACCACUGUCAACGGGGAGGAAAUGUAGGGGGGUACUCCCCUCUACUUGACCUAUCUGUGGAGGAAGUACGGGCUAAGUUCGUGCCAGCAGCCGCGGUAAGACGAACCGUACGAACGUUAUUCGGAAUUACUGGGCUUAAAGGGUGCGUAGGCGGUGCGGUAAGUUGGGUGUGAAAGCCCUCAGCUCAACUGAGGAAUUGCACUCAAAACUACCGUGCUAGAGGGAGACAGAGGUAAGCGGAACUCAAGGUGGAGCGGUGAAAUGCGUUGAUAUCUUGAGGAACACCGGUGGCGAAGGCGGCUUACUGGGUCUCUUCUGACGCUGAGGCACGAAAGCCAAGGUAGCAAACGGGAUUAGAUACCCCGGUAGUCUUGGCUGUAAACGAUGAGCACUUGAUUGAAGGGUCCUCCAUAGCCUUUCAGUCGUAGCGAAAGUGUUAAGUGCUCCGCCUGGGGAGUAUGGUCGCAAGGCUGAAACUCAAAGA